CAAUUGUUAGCAGGCAAACAUACAAAUAUGCAUACAUGUGUAUGCAUAUGAAGUAUCUGGAGUUGUUUGCAAACAUCUGUUCCAAUUGCAAAAGUUAACACAAUUGAGAUGCUGCCGCUAUGUGCCAUGGAACCUGGGCCACUCGAAAAACUUUUGUGCCUGUACACCAAAUUGAAGGAGGAGGAGGAGCAGCAGCAACAGCAAAUUGGAUGCUGUAGCCACAUCCUGGGCGAGUGCGAGAUGUUGUCUGUAGCACACUCCCGCGUGAACUGACCUUCAUUGUUUGUUUAAGCCACGGUGGAGAGAUUGAAUUCCCACGCACACCGACUCACUCACAUCUGCACACAUACACACACGCACACA